UGAGGAAUAUUGGUCAAUGGGCGGAAGCCUGAACCAGCCAAGUAGCGUGCAGGAUGACGGCCCUAUGGGUUGUAAACUGCUUUUAUGCGGGGAUAAAAGGAUUCACGUGUGGAUUUUUGCAGGUACCGCAUGAAUAAGGACCGGCUAAUUCCGUGCCAGCAGCCGCGGUAAUACGGAAGGUCCGGGCGUUAUCCGGAUUUAUUGGGUUUAAAGGGAGCGUAGGCCGCCCCUUAAGCGUGUUGUGAAAUGCGGGUGCUCAACAUCCGACUUGCAGCGCGAACUGGGGGGCUUGAGUGCGCCGAAAGUAGGCGGAAUUCGUGGUGUAGCGGUGAAAUGCUUAGAUAUCACGAAGAACUCCGAUUGCGAAGGCAGCUUACUGUAGCGCAACUGACGCUGAUGCUCGAAAGCGUGGGUAUCGAACAGGAUUAGAUACCCUGGUAGUCCACGCGGUAAACGAUGGAUGCUCGUUGUCGGCCUUUAUGGUCAGUGACCAAGCGAAAGCGUUAAGCAUCCCACCUGGGGAGUACGCCGGCAACGGUG
rnacentral:rRNA from 1 species